GCACUGCUUUUAGUUCAACAAUGUUCCUUCCAUUUUUGCUGCUGCUGGCAGCUUCAUCCUAUGUGGACUGUGCAGUAGAGCUCACUCAGGUCACCUCAGUGAUGUUAAAGCCAGGAGAUUCUUUAACCCUCAGCUGUAAAGUGUCUGGGUACUCUGUUACUGAUAGUAGCUAUGCCACGGCUUGGAUCCGACAAACUGCAGGGAAAACCCUGGAAUGGAUUGGAAACAUCUAUAGUAGUGGUGGUACAGCUUACAGUGAGAAACUGAAAAAUAAGUUCAGCAUCUCCAGAGACACUGCUACUUACACAAUAACAAUUCAAGGACAGAAUCUGCAGACUGAAGACACAGCUGUGUAUUACUGCGCGAGAUACACACAGUGA